rnacentral:lncRNA from 1 species
AAGGUUGCAAAAUGGCGAGGGGGGAGGUAAGCUGUCUUUGCUUGGCCAUCUUGGGCUAGCAGGCCUUGCAGAGAACUACCUUUUUAGCUGAGUGAAGGGAUCAACCUGAGUUGGAGUUCUCCUAUGCUGUGGCCAGAUCCACUAGAAAUUAACCCAGAAUCUUAGCCUCUCAGUGGCCUAUCGGUGAUGCCACACUCAAUCAGAAACUAUGCUACUGCUGAAGAGGUAUAUUGAGCCCUGCCUGGUUAACCUCCAGUGAGGUUAUUAGAGAAUUGGGAGAGGCUCAAAUCAGCAUCCUGCACCUAGUUAUCAAACCAUUGUGAAGUCUUGAUUCCUGGAUGGCCAGAAAACUUGUCAUUGGUCAAGAGCAACAUUAAGAUCUGCCUGUUACUCAUACUGAUGCUUCCUGCCCAGCAAGUUCAUCAGAGGGCGAGGAUGAAUUACGGUUGCCAUGAAUGUCCUUGUGAGGCAGUUGGGAAGCCUUGGCUGGAUUGUGAAGGAUAUUUGAAAAGUAUUUUAGAGUCCACCAGAUCAUCCAUGUGAGUGACCAUGCAGCAAAAGAAGGAGGGUCCUCUCAGU